rnacentral:rRNA from 1 species
CGAUCGUAUAAGAGUUUGAUCAUGGCUCAGAUUGAACGCUGGCGGCAUGCCUUACACAUGCAAGUCGAACGGCAGCGCGGGGCAACCUGGCGGCGAGUGGCGAACGGGUGAGUAAUAUAUCGGAACGUGCCCUGGAGUGGGGGAUAACGCAGCGAAAGUUGCGCUAAUACCGCAUACGAUCUAAGGAUGAAGGCGGGGGAUUCGCAAGAACCUCGUGCUCCUGGAGCGGCCGAUAUCUGAUUAGCUAGUUGGUGGGGUAAAGGCCUACCAAGGCAUCGAUCAGUAGCUGGUCUGAGAGGACGACCAGCCACACUGGAACUGAGACACGGUCCAGACUCCUACGGGAGGCAGCAGUGGGGAAUUUUGGACAAUGGGCGAAAGCCUGAUCCAGCAAUGCCGCGUGAGUGAAGAAGGCCUUCGGGUUGUAAAGCUCUUUUGUCAGGGAAGAAACGGUGUGGGCUAAUAUCCCGCACUAAUGACGGUACCUGAAGAAUAAGCACCGGCUAACUACGGUGCCAGGCAGCCGCGGUAAU